rnacentral:lncRNA from 1 species
CAAAACUCAUUUACUAAUGGACUGGUUUUGGGUUUCUCUUCUCUGAGUCCGCAAAUCUCUCUGCCUGAGCCCCAGGCCUAUUCAGACCUCGCGGGGAGCGGCGUCCCCCAGGAGCAGUUACGCGAUCUAUUGGAUUAAGCGGGAGGAAAAAUGUUGGCCGGCCCAGUCACGGCCUCCGAGGAAGAGCACCUCUUUUCUGCCCGGGUUCCCGCAAUCACACCUUCUACACGUCGUCUUCCCAGAUGACGGCAAUGUAGUACGUCCUGGUUCCUUUUGAAGACAGAUAAAAAGAAAUGGGCAGGUAGGUCUGGAGGAAGCCGGGAAAAAAAGGUGGUCCUAUUUGUGUCUAAUUGCCAUCUCUGCUGUCAUCCUCUGUAAAUUUAUACCUGCCCUUAUUUGUGCAGGCUAUGCCUCAUUUCCUUAUACAAAAUUGUUAAUUACAAAGCACACCCCAUACUCAA